rnacentral:misc_RNA from 1 species
CACAGGGCAACCCAUGUAUGGGUGACUGAAGAUGAUGGUGAUGAUGUUUUGGUUGGCGUGGUUGGUUAUGCAGAUAUUCUAUUUGCAGUAACCAAACCACCUUCAUCCUUUAUUCCAGUUAAUCGAUCUUCUGAGGGUUUUGCAGCUGAAAUUCAAAAUUGACUUGUAUUUAUUUACCAUAUUCACAUUUGCUUGUUAGCGUGCUUUACUUCAGCAGUUUUUGGGGGUUGAGGGAUUUUAGCUUUGUGGGGUUUCAUGAAUGUUUCUUGAUGAGUUUUAUAGUGUUGUAAUAAUAAAAUAAUGUUUUGC